rnacentral:lncRNA from 1 species
AAAAAACGGGUGGGCUAUAGGCUUGGUGGGCGGCGUGGGCGAAGUUCGUCCGCGGGACUCAGAAUGGCCCCAGACUUGGCGGACGGCCUCCGUGUGCCAAAAAUAGGCCACGGGCACAGCCGCGCCCAAAAAUCAGCCCCCGAAGGUCGGGGUCCCAAGACCCCCCAGCGGAAAAAUGGCCAAAAAACGGGUGGGCUAUAGCCUUGGUGGGGGGCGUGGGGGAAGUUCGUCCCCCGGACUCGGAAUGGCCCCAGACUUGGCGGGCGGCCUCCGUGUGCCAAAAAUAGGCCACGGGUACAGCCGUGCCCAAAAAUCAGCCCCCGAAGGUCGGGGUCCCAAGACCCCCAACCGGAAAAAUGGCCAAAAAACGGGUGGGCUAUAGCCUUGGUGGGGGGCGUGGGCGAAGUUCGUCCGCCGGACUCGGAAUGGCCCCUGACUUGGCGGGACGGCCUCCGUGUGCCAAAAAUAGCCCACGGGCACAGGCGCGCCCAAAAAUCAGCCCCCGAAGGUCGGGGGGCCAAGACCCCCCAGCGGAAAAUGGCCAAAAAACGGGUGGGCUAUAGCCUGGUGGGGGGCUGGGGCGAAGUUCGUCCGCCUGACUCGGAAUGGCCCCAGACUAGGCGGGCGGCCUCCGUGUGCCAAAAAUAGGCCACGGGCACAGCCGCGCCCAAAAAUCAGCCCCCGAAGGUCGGGGUCCCAAGACACCCCAGCGGAAAAAUGAGCAAAAAACGGGUGGACUAUAGCCUUGGUGGGGGGCGUGGGCGAAGUUCGUCCGCCGGACUCGGAAUGGCCCCAGACUUGGCGGGCGGCCUCCGUGUGCCAAAAAUAGGCCACGGGCACAGGCGCGCCCAAAAAUCAGCACCCGAAAGUCGGGGUCCCAAGACCCCCCAGCGGAAAAAUGGCCAAAAAAUGGGUUGGCUAUAGCCUUGGUGGGGGGCGCGGGCGAAGUUCGUCCGCGGGACUCGGAAUGGCACCAGACUUGGCGGGCGGCCUCCGUGUGCCAAAAAUAGGCCACGGGCACAGCCGCGCCCAAAAAUCAGCCCACGAAAGUCGGGGUUCCAAGACCCCCCAGCGGAAAAAUGGCCAAAAAAUGGGUGGGCUAUAGCCUUGGUGGGGUGCGUGGGCGAAGUUCGUCUGCGGGACUCGGAAUGGCACCAGACUUGGCGGGCGGCCUCCGUGUGCCAAAAAUAGGCCACGGGCACAGCCGCGCCCAAAAAUCAGCCCCCGAAGGUCGGGGUCCCAAGACCCCCCAGCGGAAAAAUGAGCAAAAAACGGGUGGGCUAUAGCCUUGGUGGGGGGCGUGGGCGAAGUUCGUCCGCCGGACUCGGAAUGGCCCCAGACUUGGCGGCCGGCCUCCGUGUGCCAAAAAUAGGCCACGGGCACAGGCGCGCCCAAAAAUCAGCCCCCGAAAGUCGGGGUCCCAAGACCCCCCAGCGGAAAAAUGGCCAAAAAACGGGUUGGCUAUAGCCUUGGUGGGGGGCGCGGGCGAUGUUCGUCCGCGGGACUCGGAAUGGCACCAGACUUGGCGGGCGGCCUCCGUGUGCCAAAAAUAGGCCACGGGCACAGCCGCGCCCAAAAAUCAGCCCACGAAANNNNNNNNNNNNNNNNNNNNNNNNNNNNNNNNNNNNNNNNNNNNNNNNNNNNNNNNNNNNNNNNNNNNNNNNNNNNNNNNNNNNNNNNNNNNNNNNNNNNNNNNNNNNNNNNNNNNNNNNNNNNNNNNNNNGCCAAAAAUAGGCCACGGGCCCAGCGCGGCCCAAAAAUCAGCCCCCGAAGUUGGGGUUCCCAGGCCCCCCCAACGGAAAAAUGGCCAAAAAACGGGUGGGCUAUAGCCUUGGUGGGGGGCGUGGGCGAAGUUCGUCCGCCGGACUCGGAAUGGCCUCAGACUUGGCGGGCGGCCUCCGUGUGCCAAAAGUAGGCCACGGGAACAGCCGCGCCCAAAAAUCAGCCCCCGAAGUUGGGGUCCCAAGACCCCCCAGCGGAAAAAUGGCCAAAAAACGGGUGGGCUAUAGCCUUGGUGGGCGGCGUGGGCGAAGUUCGUCCGCGGGACUUAGAAUGGCCCCAGACUUGGCGCGCGGCCUCCGUGUGCCAAAAAUAGGCCACGGGCACAGCCGCGCCCAAAAAUCAGCCCCCGAAGGUCGGGGUCCCAAGACCCCCCAUUGGAAAAAUGGCCAAAAAAUGGGUGGGCUAUAGCCUUGGUGGGAGGCGUGGGCGAAGUUCGUCCGCCGGACUCGGAAUGGCCCCAGACUUGGCGGGCGGCCUCCGUGUGCCAAAAAUAGGCCACGGGCACAGGCGUGCCCAAAAAUCAGCCCCUGAAGGUCGGGGUCCCAAGACUCCCGAGCGGAAAAAUGGCCAAAAAACGGUUGGGCUAUAGCCUUGGUGGGGGGCGUGGGCGAAGUUCGUCCGCCGGACUCGGAAUGGCCCUAGACUUGGCGGGCGGCCUACGUGUGCCAAAAAUAGGCCACGGGCACAACCGCGCCCAAAAAUCAGCCCCCGAAGGUCGGGGUCCCAAGACCCCCCAGUAGAAAAAUGGCAAAAAAACGGGUGGGCUAUAGCCUUGGUGGGCGGCGUGGGCGAAGUUCGUCCGCGGGACUCGGAAUGGCACCAGACUUGGCGGGCGGCCUCCGUGUGCCAAAAAUAGGCCACGGGCACAGCGGCACCCAAAAAUCAGCCCCCGAAGGUCGGGGUCCCAAGACCCCCCAGCGGAAAAAUGGCCAAAAAACGGGUGGGCUAUAGCCUAUGUGGGGGGCGUGGGCGAAGUUCGUCCGCCAGACUCGGAAUGGCUCCAGACUUGGCGGGUGGCCUCCGUGUGCUAAAAAUAGGCCACGGGCACAGGCGCGCCCAAAAAUCAGCCCCCGAAGGUCGGGGUCCCAAGACCCCCCAGCGGAAAAAUGGCCAAAAAACGGGUGGGCUAUAGCCUUGGUGGGCGGCGUGGGCGAAGUUCGUCCGCGGGACUCAGAAUGGCCCCAGACUUGGCGGGCGGCCUCCGUGUGCCAAAAAUAGGCCACGGGCACAGCCGCGCCCAAAAAUCAGCCCCCGAAGGUCGGGGUCCCAAGACCCCCCAACGGAAAAAUGGCCAAAAAACGGGUGGGCUAUAGCCUUGGUGGGGGGCGUGGGCGAAGUUCGUCCGCCGGACUCGGAAUGGCCUCAGACUUGGCGGGCGGCCUCCGUGUGCCAAAAGUAGGCCACGGGCACAGCCGCGCCCAAAAAUCAGCCCCCGAAGGUUGGGGUCCCAAGACCCCCCAGCGUAAAAAUGGCCAAAAAAAGGGUGGGCUAUAGCCUUGGUGGGGGGCGUGGGCGAAGUUCGUCCGCGGGACUCGGAAUGGCCCCAGACUUGGCGGGCGGCCUCCGUGUGCAAAAAAUAGGCCACGGGCACAGGCGCGCCCAAAAAUCGCCCAAAAA